UACGGGGGGAGCAAGCGUUGUUCGGAUUUACUGGGCGUAAAGGGCGCGUAGGCGGCCACUGCAAGUCGGUUGUGAAAUCUCCGGGCUUAACCCGGAAAGGUCAAUCGAUACUGCAGGGCUAGAGUGCGGAAGGGGCAACUGGAAUUCUCGGUGUAGCGGUGAAAUGCGUAGAUAUCGAGAGGAACACCUGCGGCGAAGGCGGGUUGCUGGGCCGACACUGACGCUGACAGCGCGAAAGCUAGGGGAGCAAACGGG
rnacentral:rRNA from 1 species